CCAUUCCUUAGCUCAGGAUGGCAUCCAAGCCUCAGGUGCCCAGCUUGUCCUUGGGUCUCAUUGCCUUUGUGGGGCCCCCUGUACAUAAGUAAUUAAAUUUGUUUUCCUCCUGUUAAUCUGUUUUAUGUUAAUUCGAUUAUUAGACCAGCCAAAGAACAUAGAAGGGUAGAAGGAAAAAUUUUUCCUUCCCUACAGCUGGCGUAGCUGGCAGGAUAAACUUCACUAGCUGGGCACUGCUCACUCUGAGGCUGCUGCAGCUGAGAGAUCCUGGGACCUCUGACAAGUGCUGGCAGAAGGUAAGAAUCCUUACCAUGUCAGUUUCCUGGAUCUCUACCUGCCAAGUCUGGUAGAAAUGAGAAUGGUGAGAGACCUUUCUUUUUCUAAAUUUAGAUUAGCAGGAGAAAAUAUUUGUGGGCUAGUUCCUUGGGCAUAGUGACUCUGGUAAAGAUUUGGUAAUGAGUGCUCCUGUUUUCUAUCGAUACUUUUUCCUCCCAGAGAUGGCCAUUGUUUUCUUUUGUCUACUUUAUGAUCAGUGAGAAUAUUCUCUCUGGUCUCUGCCAGCUGGAGGAUGCAUACGCAUCUGGUGGGCAGCUGAAUAGACUGUGGAUCUGAGUUUAGGGAAUCUGAAAAAAAAGUGAACUUUUGGCUUGGACACAAUUGGAAGCAUUGGUUAUAUUACUAAAGCUUUGACUGGAACGUCAUAUUUGAGAGAGACAUGCAUAGACUCAGAUAUGACCAGGAAGCUUUAAGGAACUAAGUUUGACUUUCUGGAGCCAAUAAAGCCCCUUGGAAAAAUCAGCCUGGUACUUUGCUUACAAGGUUCCCAGUAAUCUUGACAGGUGAGUAAUGAAGGUCACUUCCUGGCAGGCACAGGAACAUCAAGAUAUUUUGGUGACCUUGGGAAGUCACCCAAAUCUAUAAGUAUUGCAGACAAAGUCUGAUGGUGAGACCUUGGCUUUGCAUCUUAACCUCAAGAGGUUUUUAAAAAGUCCAAUCUGAGAUUCCUUAUGAAAAAUUCCAGCAGAGCAGAUUAUAAGAUUCUAUAUGGUCAAUCAUUAUUCUUGCUGCAUUUAUGUAAAUAAUCAGGGCAAUCUUAUUGAAACUAGACUUAAUUUGCAAACAAAUUAGUCUUACUAUGGUUAUCUUUGAUAGAAUUGGGAUGAUUGUAGAGAGAAAAAUUAUGUUUCAAUAAUAUAUCUUUGUGGAAAUUGGAUUCUAAUACUGUUAAUUGUCUUUGGGGUUUUGUUAUAUACCUGUAAACUGGACUAGAUCCUGUAUUCUUCUAGUUUCCUCAAAUAUCUCGCUAUGAUUCUCUAAACUAAUGUUUCUAAUUUUUCUCCUUCUGACUUGGAAUCAUUGAAAACUAAAACUACCCUUUUUUCUGGAGCCAUGCAAGCUAAUGUUGGACAACUUGAUAUAAACUUUAGAGAAAUCACCACAACAGCUCAUGUAUGGACAAUCUUCAUGUCUGUUGCUGUGUGACCACUCAGAAAGAACACCAGAGAUUUUCAAACUGCAAACCAGGAAAAUCUAUCAGAUUGUCACUGCCUGUCCUCACUCCAUCUAAAGAUACUUCAAGCCAGAUAUCUAGAAAUCUUCUCAACUGGCUGCCUUCAGAACUCAGAAACUGGGAUUAUAAUAUGCUUCAAUUAUUAACUUUUGUUUUUCUUUCAUUUCCAUAGAAAUGCCUCUUAUUAAAUACUUGAUUGCUUGCAGCAUAAGCCUAACUUUGGAAGCCCACCUGCAUUAUUGCCUCCUGAAAUGAGACACAACUGUUUAACUGAACUGACUUAUUUUCAGGACUAAGAGACUUGUUCAGUGAGAUGGAGCCAUCUACCAACUCAACUUCUAGACUGUGAAACUUCUUGAGGAAGUUUCAAAGGUGAGACUUAAGGGGUUCAGAAUGAGCCUCCCCAGAAUGUGCCACUUUGGCAUGUGGACUAUUUUGAGAUGAAGGCAAUCAAGAUUCAGCAGAUUCAAGAUAAACUUUUAUCUCUCUCUUAACUACCUAAAAGAAUUUAGAUAGGGGGCCUGGCUCAAAGAGACAGCUAUUUCCAGAGAUAAUUUUAUCUUAAUGACCUAUCUGUAUGGCAGGACAAACAUCUAAUUACCAAACAUCUGCCCUUCUUAUUGUCCCGUGAAUUACUCUCCUCCCCUCUUUGGCACCCCAGGCUCCUAUCCCAUUCCUUAGCUCAGGAUGGCAUCUAAGCCUCAAUUGCCCAACUUGUCCUUGGGGUUCACUGUCUUUGUGGGGCCCCAUACAUACCUAAUUAAAUUUGUUUUUCUUCUGUCAAUCUGUCUGCCAAAAAAGAGGGUGCUUGUUGAGGGACUGCUCAGAUUUUCCAGUUUUUUCUUCUCCAGGUGUUUGGAAGCAGGACUGGGAUGGAAUUCAACUUGUAUCUUGGAUAAUUCACCAAGAGAGGAGCCCCAAGAAAGGAACAGGGCAUUUUAAAAAUCUGGGUAUGUGGACCCUCAAGCAGUUAAUUUGAAUAUAUAAAUGACUUGAAGGGGAGCAGAAUUUGCCAUCCCAAAAUAUGUCUCUUUGGCAUAAGAAUUAUUUUAGGUUGAUUAUUUUUAAGAAAUAGCAUAUAUAGGAAAAGCUCUGAAAACUGAGUAGAAGUUACACUUUUCUAAGAGACAUUUACAUUUAUAAGGAAAAUCUCCAUUUGUGAGGGUGUCUCUCUCUGCACCCGGAAGAGAAGGCUGACUCUAAAUCUCUAGAAACUCUUAUCAAUGGAG
ensembl:lncRNA